GACGAACGCUGGCGGCGUGCUUAACACAUGCAAGUCGAACGAUGAUGCCCAGCUUGCUGGGUGGAUUAGUGGCGAACGGGUGAGUAACACGUGAGUAACCUGCCCCUGACUCUGGGAUAAGCGUUGGAAACGACGUCUAAUACUGGAUAUGAUCACUGGCCGCAUGGUCUGGUGGUGGAAAGAUUUUUUGGUUGGGGAUGGACUCGCGGCCUAUCAGCUUGUUGGUGAGGUAAUGGCUCACCAAGGCGACGACGGGUAGCCGGCCUGAGAGGGUGACCGGCCACACUGGGACUGAGACACGGCCCAGACUCCUACGGGAGGCAGCAGUGGGGAAUAUUGCACAAUGGGCGAAAGCCUGAUGCAGCAACGCCGCGUGAGGGAUGACGGCCUUCGGGUUGUAAACCUCUUUUAGUAGGGAAGAAGCGAAAGUGACGGUACCUGCAGAAAAAGCACCGGCUAACUACGUGCCAGCAGCCGCGGUAAUACGUAGGGUGCAAGCGUUGUCCGGAAUUAUUGGGCGUAAAGAGCUCGUAGGCGGUUUGUCGCGUCUGCUGUGAAAUCCCGAGGCUCAACCUCGGGCUUGCAGUGGGUACGGGCAGACUAGAGUGCGGUAGGGGAGAUUGGAAUUCCUGGUGUAGCGGUGGAAUGCGCAGAUAUCAGGAGGAACACCGAUGGCGAAGGCAGAUCUCUGGGCCGUAACUGACGCUGAGGAGCGAAAGCAUGGGGAGCAAACAGGAUUAGAUACCCUGGUAGUCCAUGCCGUAAACGUUGGGCGCUAGAUGUAGGGACCUUUCCACGGUUUCUGUGUCGUAGCUAACGCAUUAAGCGCCCCGCCUGGGGAGUACGGCCGCAAGGCUAAAACUCAAAGGAAUUGACGGGGGCCCGCACAAGCGGCGGAGCAUGCGGAUUAAUUCGAUGCAACGCGAAGAACCUUACCAAGGCUUGACAUACACCGGAAACGGCCAGAGAUGGUCGCCCCCUUGUGGUCGGUGUACAGGUGGUGCAUGGUUGUCGUCAGCUCGUGUCGUGAGAUGUUGGGUUAAGUCCCGCAACGAGCGCAACCCUCGUUCUAUGUUGCCAGCGGGUUAUGCCGGGGACUCAUAGGAGACUGCCGGGGUCAACUCGGAGGAAGGUGGGGAUGACGUCAAAUCAUCAUGCCCCUUAUGUCUUGGGCUUCACGCAUGCUACAAUGGCCGGUACAAAGGGCUGCGAUACCGUAAGGUGGAGCGAAUCCCAAAAAGCCGGUCUCAGUUCGGAUUGAGGUCUGCAACUCGACCUCAUGAAGUCGGAGUCGCUAGUAAUCGCAGAUCAGCAACGCUGCGGUGAAUACGUUCCCGGGCCU
rnacentral:rRNA from 1 species